AGAUAAAAGCUGAGGGGCGGCAGGAGGGUCAAAUAAAAGUUGCUCUGCAGUUCGCUCCUCCAAGCCGCACAGCGACCGCAGGGGGGUGAGAUUCCCAAAGCCACUUUCACACCUUCGAUAAUGCACUAGCAAAGAGAAGCCCGGAGAGGCUGAAGUUUCCACGCAGGGCACCGUCGGGGAGACGCAGCCCGGGAGGACGGAAGGGUUGGGCUCGCUACCUCUGCACACCGGCGAGCCGGGGCUCCGUCGCUCAGGAAAUGUUUCAGCUACAUAUAAGGGGCUCCUGAAGCACAGCAAGAUAAAAAUAGAGUUUCCAUUACCAGUACUGGGAAAAGCUUAGCACUUAGGAAGUCACUCCUGUCUGCCAUACCCUGAUUUUCAGCAGAUCACCUGUUCUCCUGGGACUCCUUGAGUUUCACUUACCUCCAAAGACUCGUUGCCGUCUACGUCUGAAGUUUUGCCUCUUGCUGCCACUCUUUCUUCAUGUGCUGUAUCUCCUAUGAAGCAAAAGAAAAAAAUAAAACUUUAC